AAGGAGUCUAACAUCUAUGCGAGUGUUUUGGGUGUCAAACCCAUACGCGUAAUGAAAGUGAACGGAGGUCAGAACCCUUAAGGGUGCAUGAUCGACCGGUCCUGAAGUCUUCGGAUGGAUCUGAGUAAGAGCAUAGCUGUUGGGACCCGAAAGAUGGUGAACUAUGCCUGAAUAGGGUGAAGCCAGAGGAAACUCUGGUGGAGGCUCGCAGCGGUUCUGACGUGCAAAUCGAUCGUCAAAUUUGGGUAUAGGGGCGAAAGACUAAUCGAACCAUCUAGUAGCUGGUUCCUGC
rnacentral:misc_RNA from 1 species